UGCGUCUGAUUAGGUUGUUGGCGGGGUAACGGCCCACCAAGCCUACGAUCAGUAGGGGUUCUGAGAGGAAGGUCCCCCACAUUGGAACUGAGACACGGUCCAAACUCCUACGGGAGGCAGCAGUGAGGAAUAUUGGUCAAUGGGCGAGAGCCUGAACCAGCCAAGUAGCGUGCAGGAUGACGGCCCUAUGGGUUGUAAACUGCUUUUAUACAGGGAUAAAGUGCGCCACGUGUGGCGCUUUGUAGGUACUGUAUGAAUAAGGACCGGCUAAUUCCGUGCCAGCAGCCGCGGUAAUACGGAAGGUCCGGGCGUUAUCCGGAUUUAUUGGGUUUAAAGGGAGCGCAGGCUGAUUAUUAAGCGUGACGUGAAAUGUAGCCGCUCAACGGCUGAACUGCGUCGCGAACUGGUAGUCUUGAGUGAGUUCGAUGUUGGCGGAAUUCGUGGUGUAGCGGUGAAAUGCUUAGAUAUCACGAAGAACUCCGAUUGCGAAGGCAACCAACAAGGCCUUUACUGACGCUAAAGCUCGAAGGUGCGGGUAUCGAACAGGAUUAGAUACCCUGGUAGUCCGCACGGUAAACGA
rnacentral:rRNA from 1 species